UCCUCCAUGUCUCUCUCUUUAGAUUGCAGUCAUUUUCAUCACUGUAACUGAAAUGAAGAAAGAGUAUCCCUACGUGAUCCAGCUGUUGCCCCCGGACUGCGUGUGCCACCUGUCCCCCCCAGACCCGUCAGUCCUCUCAACCACCGCAGCCCUCUUCCUCACUGCCCUGGUCAUGAUUCUGGGAGAGGUGUUCUCCAGGAGGAUCAGGAGGAAGAUCUGCUCCUCCUUCUACAGAGACAGAGAGGAGGAACGGGCCCUGUACCUCCGGGACAAGAUUCUAUUAAAGAUGGAGGAUGAGGGAAACAUUUCGUAGAUCGACACUGGAAGGAGAAACAGACCAUACACCUCAGGAACAAGAUUCUACUGAAUGUUGACUGGAAAUUAACAAGAUCAUCUGCGUUCUAGAUUUUUUAGAUUGGUGUAUCAACAUUUGUGCUGAUCAUUGUUUAGAUCAAUGUCGAUCAA